AUGGCCGAGGCCUCCCGGUACCAGAUCCUGGUGCGGCUCCUCGACGGCCGCACCCACUGCCUCCGGUUCUCCACGCCCACCGUCUCCGGCGCGGCGCUCCUCGACGCCGUUUCCGCGCUCUCCCGCGUCCCCGCCGCCUCCCUCCGCCUCGUCACCGGCCGCCUCGACAUCUCGCCCUCCUCCGUCCUCGCAUCCUUCCCCGACGGGCAAUUCCCCUCCGCGUCCGCGCUCCUCCGCCUCCGCGGUGGCAAGGGCGGGUUCGGCUCCCUCCUCCGUGGGGCCGCCUCCAAGGCCGGCCAGAAGAAGACCAGCAACUUCGACGCUUGCCGCGACAUAAACGGCCGCCGGCUCCGCCACGUCAACGCGGAGCGCCGCCUCGAGGAGUGGAGGGCCGAGGCCGCAGAUCGUCAGCUCGAGAAACUUGCCGAGGACUUCCUCAAGAAGAAGGCCAAAGAGUCAGGCCGCGGCGGCGCCCGAGCUGCCGAGGUUGACAAGUAUCUUGAGAAGUACCGAAAGGAUGCCGAGAGCUGCGUCAACGCCGUGGAGGAGUCGGUACGUGCCUCCCUUGGGAAGAGGAAGGCUGUCCCCAAGCCACGUGAUGCAAAGAAGCUUAAAAUUUGGAUGGGCAAAAAGAAAGUAGCAGAUGAUGAGAGUGAUAGUGACAGUGACAGUGAUGUGGACGAUAAUGAGGGGGCAGAUGCAAAACCCAUAGCUCUUGAUCAUGGGAAUUACUCAAAUGAAUCCAACAAAAGUGAGGAGGAAAAGGUUGAUCUGGCUUCAGUUUCUGGGUCACAUUCAGAAGGAGAGUCCUCAGGUGAGAAGUCCCAGAGCAGUGAUUCAGAGGAAAAUGGAAAUGCUCUUCAGGAAUCCAUGGAAGUAAAGAUUAGAUCAGGAUGUGAUUUUGAGUCACAAGGUAGUUUGGAGUGUGAGGGGGGAACGGCAGUUCAGCCUGCUCCUGAGAACACUUCUGAAAACGGAACUUCUGAGAUUGGUAAGAGUGCUCUUUCAGAAGAAGUUCUGAAAUCAGAUGCUCCUGAGAACACUUCUGAAAAUGGAACUUCUGAGAAUGGGGAAGAAUCUGCUGAUGUAAAUAACAAGUCUCUUCUUUCAGAGGAGCCUGUGGACCUGGCAACAUUCAGUUCAGCAGCAGAAUUGGAGGCACUUGGCAUGGAGAAGCUAAAGCUGGAGCUCCAGACUCAUGGACUAAAAUGCGGUGGCACUUUAAAAGAGCGCGCGGCCAGACUGUUCCUUCUGAAAACAACCCCAGUGGAUAAACUACCAAAGAAGCUGCUUGCGAAACCCAACUCUGGAGGGAAGUGA
rnacentral:rRNA from 1 species